rnacentral:rRNA from 1 species
UCAUGCCAAUGGCACUGCCCGGUAGCUAAAUGCGGAAGAGAUAAGUGCUGAAAGCAUCUAAGCACGAAACUUGCCCCGAGAUGAGUUCUCCCUGAGACUAUAAGUCUCCUGAAGGAACGUUAAAGACGAUGACGUUGAUAGGCCGGGUGUGUAAGCGCAGCGAUGCGUUGAGCUAACCGGUACUAAUGAACCGUGAGGCUUAACCUUACAACGCCGAAG